CAGCAUGGUCUUAGCUUGCUAAGGCCGAUGGCGACCGGCGCACGGGUGAGUAACACGUAUCCAACCUGCCGUCUACUCUUGGACAGCCUUCUGAAAGGAAGAUUAAUACAAGAUGGCAUCAUGAGUCCGCAUGUUCACAUGAUUAAAGGUAUUCCGGUAGACGAUGGGGAUGCGUUCCAUUAGAUAGUAGGCGGGGUAACGGCCCACCUAGUCUUCGAUGGAUAGGGGUUCUGAGAGGAAGGUCCCCCACAUUGGAACUGAGACACGGUCCAAACUCCUACGGGAGGCAGCAGUGAGGAAUAUUGGUCAAUGGGCGAGAGCCUGAACCAGCCAAGUAGCGUGAAGGACGACUGCCCUAUGGGUUGUAAACUUCUUUUAUAAAGGAAUAAAGUCGGGUAUGCAUACCCGUUUGCAUGUACUUUAUGAAUAAGGAUCGGCUAACUCCGUGCCAGCAGCCGCGGUAAUACGGAGGAUCCGAGCGUUAUCCGGAUUUAUUGGGUUUAAAGGGAGCGUAGAUGGAUGUUUAAGUCAGUUGUGAAAGUUUGCGGCUCAACCGUAAAAUUGCAGUUGAUACUGGAUAUCUUGAGUGCAGUUGAGGCAGGCGGAAUUCGUGGUGUAGCGGUGAAAUGCUUAGAUAUCACGAAGAACUCCGAUUGCGAAGGCAGCCUGCU
rnacentral:rRNA from 1 species